GGGAGAUGAGCAACAGGCUACAGACAAAAGCAAAGUCUUAAGCCUUUAAGAAAUGAUGGCAAGAAGACAGGGUAAAAGCUAUAAAACACUGACUGGAGAUCGCCUACCGUGGUGCUCAUCCAGGAUUCCCAAAGUAGAGUCGAGUCACUCUUGCUGCCAUGCUGUAACUCCACUCCACAGCACAGCACGAAAUAGCAAAAAACAGUGCAAAUGACCAACAGUUGCAGUCAAGUAGUGGGAAGUGACACUGUCAAGUCAUCAGCAGGACUUCUGUGAGUAGGUGGAAGGCAGUGAAAAGGCAUGUAAAAAUAGUCCUGAUGUGAUAUAAAUUAAGGAGGAGUUUCUGUGGCUCCAAGUCGGGCCAAGAAGUAGUAAAAUAAUCACAGUGUUAAUUCACCCGUUCUCCCCUGCUCAAGUUGCUCAGCUUUUUAUCUUGCAGAUGUAGCCCAGUAAUUUUUAGCAUCCCACAAAAUGACACCUGUUAAAAAUAAAGUUUCAGGGACAUGUCAAGCAAAUACUUGUUGUGUGCCACCUUCCCGGGAAUGCUCCUGGUUUUCCCUCCACACGUGCUGCAGGUCUCACACUCUUCCUGGUCCAAGCAAAGGACUGCCACUGGCACUUUCUGUUAAAAGUCCUCCAAAAUGGUUCUACCUUCCAUAAAGAGCAGGUUGUUCUGAUGGGCAAACAAAAACCAGUAACCCCUUUCAAACUCUGAGCAGAUGAGAGAUGACACCAUUACCAGGCUGAGGGGAAAAACUCACCCUUUGCCUUGGGGAAAGUCCAGGUGUAUUUUACUUUCCCUGGAAACUUUUCCUCUGACUCCAAAAGAAGGGCUGGAUGCCCACGUGCUGUCCUGUGCCACAAUGAACCUGCUCCCGUCUCACCGUGAAGAUCUUGUACAUGCUCCUUUACCUGCACAACAUCACGGCUGAUGUCAUCUUGAAAAAUACAGUUUAUUAAGCCAAUGCUAUGGAUAAACAUAAAACAAAACCUUUCUAUUCUAUUCUCACAGCUCCCUUAUUUAGACAACCGGUCCUCAUAGCGCAGUUUCUGUGGGAAGGUCCUGAUGGAUAGGGGAGCAGAAAAAAAAAAGGACCCUCAUAACUAAAUUGUUCUAAACCAGGCUAACUAUUCAGAACUAAACAAUUCAUAUAACCAUACAGGCAAGUCUCCUCCUAGGGUGACACUUGGCAUGAGAUUUUCCUGCAGUACUAUGGAGGAAACAAUAGAGAUUUGGAAAAACAGUCAUUUCUGCAAUGGGUGUGAAGGUUGCAACACGUGAUUUUACCGUUUUCUGAUUUUUACAACAGUGCAAUUGCAAAUUCCAGCACAUUUUAUAUCUAAUGUUUUGGAUUAUUCAAGUGAAAAGAGAAAGAGCAGAAGAGAGCAUCCUUCUCAGCUAGACCUGAGAUUUCACCUCCAUGGCUGCAGCUCUGAUACUGUCUAGGAAUAUAGAUGACCCCCACUACUCAAACCAGAGCCCUCUGAUACACUAGCGUGGUGUCUGAAAUUGGGGAGGCCCAGUGCAGUGCAUUGAUCCUACUGCUAGGUGAUAUAUUUAGCAUUUGUAUUCAUUAAAAACUGAUGUCAUUCUAAA